UCCGCGUAUACUCCGAUUAAUCCCCGAUUUCUUAGUAACUCGCUAGGCCCGGGGUUGCCGCCCGACUAGCGCCUAACGUAGUUUCGAACAGGGGUUAAAACCGAUUUUGCAAACCACAAUAAAACAAAAUUAAAUAGUUUAUUGGCCCAGUAACUUUUCUAUAUUAGUAUAGGUUGAUCGGCCCAUUAUCAUUCCUGUUUGAAUAUUUGUAAAUUGGUGCAUAGCGAGGAGCUCUGCUUCUGGUUCUGGUCAAAACUGACGUUAAUGGGGUUCACUCUCAAGCCAAACAAACUCUUUACUGAAGAGGUAAACUUUCCAUCAGAAAGCUCGGAGCUUUUAUGAAAUUUGAUGAAUUUAUUGGUGAUUUUGUUGAUCUUUUAGGUGUUUGGAGCUGAGUAUGAAGAAGGGUUUUGAGACUUUUAGUCAGGAUGGUCCUCUCUAAGUUGAUGUGGUAACAUGUGACUUCGUUUUUGGAUUGUAAGUAGGAUUUCUGGAAUGAGAAACUGGAAGAUGGGUUUCCUUCCAGGAAUACGUUACGCAAUGAAACCAGACGAAGCUUAUGGACUUGUAUUCUCAUGGGACAAUGUCGUGGUAAGUCUUUUACACCAUCUUUGUGUUUGUAAGUUCGAUAGUACUCGAACCUUCCUCUUCUGGCGGGAAGUGAAGAUUUGUCUUAUUAAAUAUAUCUGUCUUUAGUUUGUGUUGCUGACAAGGUCCUAUUAUUUGGUAAAUCUCAAAAGUUGUAGAUUAGAAUUGUGUGGAAUAUGCAUAUACUAGUUCUGGACCUAGAUUAGUUACAAACUCUUUUUUAUUUUAUUGCACGAAAUUUUUCUGUCAAUAUUGGUUUAUUGCUUAUGAUGUUUUCAUGUUUUCAUGUUUUCAUGUUAGUCCAUGAUGUUUAUUGCUUAUAUAUUUUUGGAAAUUAAGCCCUUUUCUCAUGGUAUAACGAGAUCUAUGUUUCUGCUAGAUUCAUAUCCUCUGCUUGGUUAUAUAUUUGCUGAUGCUUGUAUUCAUUAUCCGUUUCAGGCAGUAGUUUCCGAGGAAAAUGAUAUGGAAUGGAUAGCUCAUUGUUUUUUUUCCGCAGCUGUGAGGGUAAAUGCCAAUCCUAACCAGUUUUCUCUGAGAGAUGUUGUGGAAAAGUUUAAAACUUUAUCGCAGUUGGAUAGGAAACCAUCAAAAUGUGUUGUGUUUGAGGAUGAUCCUAGUGAUAUAACCGCUGCUCACAAUUGUACUAUGAUGGCAGUUGGAUUAAUCAGUGUUCAUUGAGAGUAUGAUCUGAUUCAGGCUGAUCUUGCAGUUGGAUCACGAGAUACAAAUCAUAGAAAAAUCGCCGCUGGAAAGAAAACUAGCCAUCGCUACCAUUUUCUAAGCAUUUGGUCGUGGCAUAUAAAUGUUUGAUACAAGGCAUGAACCGGAUAUAUCCAGUGAAAUUUCAAGCUUAUAUUGGUCCUUUUCUUU